AACGAACGCUGGCGGCAUGCCUAACACAUGCAAGUCGAACGAGACCUUCGGGUCUAGUGGCGCACGGGUGCGUAACGCGUGGGAACCUGCCCUUAUGUUCGGAAUAACUCCCCGAAAGGGGUGCUAAUACCGGAUAAUGUCUUCGGACCAAAGAUUUAUCGCCUUUGGAUGGGCCCGCGUUGGAUUAGCUAGUUGGUAGGGUAAAAGCCUACCAAGGCGACGAUCCAUAGCUGGUCUGAGAGGAUGAUCAGCCACACUGGGACUGAGACACGGCCCAGACUCCUACGGGAGGCAGCAGUGGGGAAUAUUGGACAAUGGGCGAAAGCCUGAUCCAGCAAUGCCGCGUGAGUGAUGAAGGCAUUAGGGUUGUAAAGCUCUUUUAACCGGGAUGAUAAUGACAGUACCGGGAGAAUAAGCUCCGGCUAACUCCGUG
rnacentral:rRNA from 1 species